AAGUGGUAGGAGAGCGUUCUAUUUGCGUCGAAGGUAUACCGGUAAGGAGUGCUGGAGCGAAUAGAAGUGAGCAUGCAGGCAUGAGUAGCGAUAAUUAAUGUGAGAAUCAUUAACGCCGUAAACCCAAGGUUUCCUACGCGAUGCUCGUCAUCGUAGGGUUAGUCGGGUCCUAAGUCGAGUCCGAAAGGGGUAGACGAUGGCAAAUUGGUUAAUAUUCCAAUACCAACAUUAGUGUGCGAUGGAAGGACGCUUAGGGCUAAGGGGGCUAGCGGAUGGAAGUGCUAGUCUAAGGUCGUAGGAGGUUAUACAGGCAAAUCCGUAUAACAAUACUCCGAGAACUGAAAGGCUUUUUGAAGUCUUCGGAUGGAUAGAAGAACCCCUGAUGCCGUCGAGCCAAGAAAAGUUUCUAAGUUUAGCUAAUGUUGCCCGUACCGUAAACCGACACAGGUGGGUGGGAUGAGUAUUCUAAGGCGCGUGGAAGAACUCUCUUUAAGGAACUCUGCAAAAUAGCACCGUAUCUUCGGUAUAAGGUGUGGUUAGCUUUGU
rnacentral:rRNA from 1 species